CGGUAAUCCAUUCACCGUGUCCUAUAGAACUGCCUACCUAGCUACUAGUUUGCCGCAGAAAAAUCAAUUACAAGAUUCAAUACAAGAAUACAAUACAGAUACCUAUUAAUACAUAUCACAACACAUCACAACACAUCCCAACAUCACAAAAGUAAUACACAUCACAACAUCACAAAAUUAAUACACAUUACAACAUCACAACCAAUAGAAUCUCAAUAAUAUAAUCAAUACCAAAUAAUCAAAACAGAAUAUACAAAAUAAAUGCAAGUUAUACAAUAAUAUAUAAAUAUAAUAUCAUGUUCUCCUCCCUCGACCUCCUCGACCACAUCGCCUACCACGUCUGCGACCACGACCAACAUCAUGCUCAUCAAAA
rnacentral:lncRNA from 1 species